rnacentral:rRNA from 1 species
CGCGUAGGUGGCGAUGCGUGUCGGAUGUGAAAGCUCCAGGCUCAACCUGGAAAGUGCGUCCGAAACUACAUUGCUAGAGUCUGGGAGAGGGAAUCGGAAUAUAAGGUGUAGCGGUGAAAUGCGUUGAUAUCUUAUAGAACACCGGAGGCGAAGGCGGAUUCCUUGAACAGUACUGACACUGAGGCGGAGAAAGGUCGGGGGAGCAAACA